AGUAAGCACGACUUUUAACAGUGCAGCAUUUGGCCACAAGAGCGCGCCUGAGCCACAUUAGUGGCGGGCGGUGAACAUGCCAAAAUCUCCUUUCUCUUGUCACAAAAAAGCAUUCCAUUCCAAACACUGUCAAAGCCACACCGAAGGCUGUCAGCAUCUCUUUCUGUCUCGCACGAUGAUCCCUGAAAAGCCAGAUGUCGUACACACCGUUGCUUUUUAUUUACUUUUUCUGUCGUUCGUUCCUGCCAACAUUGCCACCAGCAACUCAAGACGGAACCUAGAUGCAAAUGAAGUCCUCGAUGACAGCCAACCUGGUGAGUCUCAUUGAUUAUUCCCCAUUCAGCUAGAAAUGGUUCAAUAGAAAGGACCACUUUUAAAGAUGCAGUAAGUAUGAAUUUAUUUAGCUGCUUGCUAAUCAAAUCUUCUGAAAUGUCUCACUUGAUUCAACCAAUAUUGUAUACAUUAUGAUUGCACUGAACAAUACCUAUUUACCUGUUGUUAUAAGACAAUGAAGUACAAAACGAAAGUGAAACAACGGAACUGCCCACUUCCUGAAUCAGAUGCCCAUAGGGGGUGAAAAUGAAAACCAAACCCAAUUGCAAUUACAAUGUUUCUAAUACACUAACCUGACCCAUCACUAACAGUGAUCAGGCUUCAUUGAACAAAGUGAUUUCUCUCCUGGAAAAGCUUCUCUCAAACCAGGAACAUUUCACUGUACGGACAAUUUAUGUUUCACGAGAGCCCAAGCAAUUCCCCAGUGUUUCUCCAGAUCAAAUAUGAAGACAUUACACAUCUCCAGUCAGAACAGGCCUUGCACAAACUUUUUCCCCCUGGCACAUUUUCUGGCUAGUGCCUACAUUGCCUUCAUUGCCUUCAUUGUUGUUUUCCUUACAAAUUAUAACUUUGCACAUGUGUGCGUUCCUAUCAAAGUAAGUGCCU
rnacentral:lncRNA from 1 species